rnacentral:rRNA from 1 species
UUGGCCUUGACAUACUAAGAACUUUCCAGAGAUGGGAUUUGGGUGCCUUCGGGAACUUAGAUACAGGUGCUGCAUGGCUGUCGUCAGCUCGUGUCGUGAGAUGUUGGGUUAACGUCCGCAACGAGCGCAACCCUUUUCCUUAUUUGCCAGCGGGUAAUGCCGGGAACUUUAAGGAUACUGCCAGUGACAAACUGGAGGAAGGCGGGGACGACGUCAAGUCAUCAUGGCCCUUACGGCCAGGGCUACACACGUGCUACAAUGGUCGGUACAAAGGGUUGCUACCUCGCGAGAGGAUGCUAAUCUCAAAAAGCCGAUCGUAGUCCGGAUCGCAGUCUGCAACUCGACUGCGUGAAGUCGGAAUCGCUAGUAAUCGCGGAUCAGAAUGCCGCGGUGAAUACGUUCCCGGGCCUUGUACACACCGCCCGUCACACCAUGGGAGUUUGUUGCACCAGAAGUAGGUAGUCUAACCGCAAGGAGGACGCUUACCACGGUGUGGCCGAUGACUGGGGUGAAGUCGUAACAAGGUAAGCGUAGAUGA